GUGGUAUAAGAUGGACCCGCGUUGGAUUAGCUAGUUGGUGAGGUAACGGCCCACCAAGGCGACGAUCAAUAGCCGACCUGAGAGGGUGACCGGCCACAUUGGGACUGAGACACGGCCCAAACUCCUACGGGAGGCAGCAGUGGGGAAUAUUGCACAAUGGGCGAAAGCCUGAUGCAGCGACGCCGCGUGAGCGAAGAAGUAUUUCGGUAUGUAAAGCUCUAUCAGCAGGGAAGAUAAUGACGGUACCUGACUAAGAAGCACCGGCUAAAUACGUGCCAGCAGCCGCGGUAAUACGUAUGGUGCAAGCGUUAUCCGGAUUUACUGGGUGUAAAGGGAGCGCAGGCGGUGCGGCAAGUCUGAUGUGAAAGCCCGGGGCUCAACCCCGGUACUGCAUUGGAAACUGUCGUACUAGAGUGUCGGAGGGGUAAGCGGAAUUCCUAGUGUAGCGGUGAAAUGCGUAGAUAUUAGGAGGAACACCAGUGGCGAAGGCGGCUUACUGGACGAUAACUGACGCUGAGGCUCGAAAGCGUGGGGAGCAAACAGGAUUAGAUACCCUGGUAGUCCACCCCGUAAACGAUGAAUACUAGGU
rnacentral:rRNA from 1 species